rnacentral:lncRNA from 12 species
AAAACAUUCUGUUUCAGAAAACGAAGAAAACUGAAGAGAGAACCUGGACAGUAGAAAAGGAAGAAAUGGUUUCCUUGUUUUUCACCUUUAGAAGAUUGAAUCUGCUUCAGUUAGAAGUGAAUUUAUUAGCAUGUUACCUCUUUUGGGCUGUGUUCCCUGGAAGGUAUUUUAGGGCGGCCGUGGCUCUUCUGGGCCGGGACCCAAGAAGCUCCUGGCUGGCCUAGGGUUGGAGCCCACGGCGGUGAGGAGGGAGCCAAGGGCCUAUGGAAAGUGCCAGGGGCCGCACACUGCGCACCUCGCCUCUUCGGAUCCAACUCUUUCCCGCAGGCUGAGGUGGCCCACCCAAGGGGCCAGCCAUCCAGAUCCUUCAGGUGCCCGUCUGCAGGAAGAACAGGGGUUCUUUCAGGUCAUCAUUCAACAAUCAACAGAUCUUCUUGGCUAGUUGUGUAUCAGGCAUUCCAAACAGGCACUGGAAAACCAACAAAUAAAAAUACGAGACUCCUGACCUAAAGGAACUUAGCAUCUAGUCUGGUAGACAGAUGAAUAGCCACAUAACUAAACAAGAGUGUGAGGAGUACCAAGCUGGGGUGCACACAAUGAACUCCAGGGUUCCAGAAAAAACGCUCCCAAAUCAUGUAAGUGAUCAGGAAUGGGUUGGAAAAGUAAUUAGCAAAGCUUUCUGGGAGGCUUCCCAUCUUAAGUGAGUUGUGAAG